rnacentral:rRNA from 1 species
GAAGAACCUUACCAAGUCUUGACAUCCGCCUGACUGAUCCUUAACCGGAUCUUUCUUCGGGACAGGCGAGACAGGUGGUGCAUGGUUGUCGUCAGCUCGUGUCGUGAGAUGUUGGGUUAAGUCCCGCAACGAGCGCAACCCCUAUCCUCAGUAGCCAGCAUUUAAGGUGGGCACUCUGGGGAGACUGCCAGGGAUAACCUGGAGGAAGGCGGGGAUGACGUCAAAUCAUCAUGCCCCUUAUGAUUUGGGCUACACACGUGCUACAAUGGCGUAAACAAAGGGAAGCGAGAUUGUGAGAUGGAGCAAAUCCCAAAAAUAACGUCCCAGUUCGGACUGUAGUCUGCAACCCGACUACACGAAGCUGGAAUCGCUAGUAAUCGCGGAUCAGAAUGCCGCGGUGAAUACGUUCCCGGGUCUUGUACACACCGCCCGUCACACCAUGGGAGUCAGUAACGCCCGAAGUCAGUGACCUAACCGAAAGGGAGGAGCUGCCGAAGGCGGGACCGAUGACUGGGGUGAAGUCGUAACAAGGUAACCGUAASCUUCACAAUCGAAUUCC